rnacentral:rRNA from 1 species
AACGACGCUAUCGGGGUAGGGAUAGCCAUGGGAGUCUUACACUCCCGGGUAAGGGAGUGUGGCGGACGGCUGAGUAACACGUGGCUAACCUACCCUCGGGACGGGGAUAACCCCGGGAAACUGGGGAUAAUCCCCGAUAGGGAAGGAGUCCUGGAAUGGUUCCCUCCCUAAAGGGCUAUAGGCUAUUUCCCGUUUGUAGCCGCCCGAGGAUGGGGCUACGGCCCAUCAGGCUGUCGGUGGGGUAAAGGCCCACCGAACCUAUAACGGGUAGGGGCCGUGGAAGCGGGAGCCUCCAGUUGGGCACUGAGACAAGGGCCCAGGCCCUACGGGGCGCACCAGGCGCGAAACGUCCCCAAUGCGCGAAAGCGUGAGGGCGCUACCCCGAGUGCCUCCGCAAGGAGGCUUUUCCCCGCUCUAAAAAGGCGGGGGAAUAAGCGGGGGGCAAGUCUGGUGUCAGCCGCCGCGGUAAUACCAGCUCCGCGAGUGGUCGGGGUGAUUACUGGGCCUAAAGCGCCUGUAGCCGGCCCACCAAGUCGCCCCUUAAAGUCCCCGGCCUCAACCGGGGAACUGGGGGCGAUACUGGUGGGCUAGGGGCGGGAGAGGCGGGGGGUACUCCCGGAGUAGGGGCGAAAUCCUUAAUACCGGGAGGACCACCAGUGGCGGAAGCGCCCCGCUAAAACGCGCCCGACGGUGAAAAGGCGAAAGCCGGGGCAGCAAACGGGAUUAAAUACCCGGUAUUCCCG